rnacentral:lncRNA from 1 species
UGUGUUUGACCAAAAAGUUUACAAAGCAAUCAAAAUUUUAUUAAAUUGUAGACUUCAUAUGCAGUCUUCUUAUCUUAGAAAAAAAAAUGUAGACUGCAUAUAAAGUCUACUUUUCUAUUUUGGUCAAAUACAAAACCAACCCGUCGGAUUUGAGAGUAGACUUCACAAGAAGUCUACACACCUGUAGACGUUCAUUUCAAUCUACUGAUUGGAAGUCAAAUUUGGUCAAUUGAAAAACUAACAUCUUUCAAAAAAAUUCAAACAUGUAGACUGAAUAUGAAGUCUAGUUCUGAAAGUCAAAACUUGGAUGAAUUCUGGUCAAUUGCAAAAACUAACAUUUUUAAAUUGUAGACUGAAAUGAAAGUCUACAUGUACAAAAUCACAACUUUUUUUCAACUAUAGAAAGCAACCCGUAAAAUGGUCAAUUGCAAAAA